GGCUCGCGGGGAGGCAUUUCGUUUAGAGGGGCCUGGGGAAGGGGUGGGGAGGGAUUCCCGUCCGUGCCGCCUCCUUCGUUCUGCCUUCCUGUGGUCCGUUCCCAGCCCCCAGCAUUUAUCAGGCACCUGCGGAAUCCUGAGGAGUCCCUAGCAUGUGGAGCCCUUUGGAAAGGGGCCCAGAGAGCCGUUCUCCCACGGAGAAGAGGCCGGAUCCCCUCGCAGGUGGGGGCAGACACUGGCAAGGGGCCCAGGAGGAGGAGAACAAAUGAUAGAGGCAGCUAGAGGACCAGCGGACAGAGCCCUGGGUCUGCCAUCAGGAAGGUGAGGUGACUUGCCCAGGGUCACCCAACCUUGAACUCAGGUGUUCUGGACUCCAAGGCCAGUCUUGUGAGCACACGGUAGUCACCUGGUUACUUGGUGCCGGGCCCUGAGCUGCCCCCAGACCGGAGUGUUCUCCUCAUUCUGCCUCCUGGCUUCCUACAGACUCAGCUCAGAUCCCACCUUCUGUUGGCCUCCCUUCCUAGUCCUUCCUCCCCUCCCCCCUUCUUUCACAGCAUAUGUCAACUGGCUUCCAUCAACCAGCAUUUAUUUAGCACCUACUGUUUGCCAGAGGCAGCUAAGUGUUACAGUAGAUACAGUGCUAGGCCUGAAGUCUCAGGCAGUGUAGUCCUGGGCAGUCAUAUAACUAGCCUGCCUCAGUGUCCUCAUCUGUAAAAAGAGCUGGAGAACGGCAACCCGGUUGCCAAGAAAACCCCAAAUGGGGUCAUAGAGAGUUGGACACGACUAAAGUGAAUGGACAGUGUGGCUACUUGUCAGAUGCACAGAUGGGCCCUGUCCCUGCCCUCGGGAAGCUUCUAUUGCACUGGUGGAAGAUGCCCCGGAAGCCUCAGCACUGCCGAGACGAAUUCUCCUUGGGCAGCUGGCAGGUUCAGAGGCUGCAAAAGCAAUCACGACCAUAGAGGCUGGGGAAGGUCCCUAAACAUUUAUUAGGCACUUCCUGUAUGCAGGCAUUGUGCUAAAUGCUAGCAAACCAAGAAAAGUCCAGGUGAAGGUCGUGCUUUGCAGGCACUGAGCUUUUCCAGGGGAGGGAUUCUUAACUGCUGUGGCUCAGCUGGUCACUCUCCUCUCCCACUCCCUUCAUUUGGUCCUUCAGAGCUGCAAAAGGGAUAAAUCGUCCCCAACAAGUGCAGUCCCUUGCUGGGAGCCUCAUUUUCUUUUCUGAAAUCGAAGAAACAAUCCCUUUGUGUUGAGCCUCUUGGAAGUGUUCUUCCGACAGUCAAGAGGGUGGGCAGGAGGUGCUGGGCAAGUCCCGGUUUUGUCUGGAAGCCCUACUGUGUGCUUUGCCCUGGGGACAGAGGCCAUAGUAUUGACAGAAUUCCGAAGAGCUCCCCUGUGGGAUUGCAGAGAAGGCCUGACUGGGGAGGGGUGAUGGCCCGAGGGCCCCCUUUGGCUUCAGACCUCUGUAAUGGGAUACACGUGAAGCGCUUGAAGGACAGAAGCAGAGGCUCUUUGCAGAGGCUGGGGGGCAUUCUCAUCACUGUGAGAGGGGAACGGGGCUCUGGGAUACCCAGAUCGGAGAACCCAGAGCACAAGCUGCCCGAUUCAAUUGUCAAAGGGAGAAACACGAGUCUCCACGUGGGCUCAAAGUCAACUUUCCCAGCACCAGGCGGGAGUGGCGGGAAGCUAGAUGCCCAUUUGGGAGAAGGAGACGUUGGCCCUGGAAGACCACAUGGCUUGGGCCAGGCUCCGAGGGGCGGGGGCGGCCUGGUUCCUCUCUCUCCCGCCCCACUCGGGCUCCAGGAUCCCUGCUGCCCAGAUGGCGUCUGCCUGGGAAGGACGUUGCCGACGGAGCAGUGCUGGCGGCCGUUCCCAUCUUGGACCCUCUCGGGCUGCUCUGUCGCUGGCCCUUUUCUGGGAGCCUCCUUUAAAUGAACGGCUUGCUGGAAAUGUAAGGGGGCUGGGCAGGCUGGAAAAGACUCCAGGCCAGAGAUGAAGGGCACCGAGCGGCAGGGAUGGGACACUGGGUGGCGAAGGCUGGAAAAGGGCCAGGAGGAGGCUCGCAAGAACUAAGGGCUGCGGACGCAAAGGCGGAGGCGGAGUCACACUGACCCGGGGACCGCUCGUAGCGCUCUGGCGCCCCAGCGCGGCUGCCGAGGGGUACUACGUCGGCUCUCCGCCAGACUUCAGCUGGAUAGGGGAGAGCAGUGCGCGCACCGUGGAGCUGUGGGCGGGGCCCGGCCUGCGUGCGCGGCGCCGGUGGCUACGUGCCCAACGACCCUGUUCUCAUGGCCCUGCGUAGCCGUCGGGUGCGGUCCAUACCACUGCGCUAACCUAGGGGGAGGCCCGUUCUCCCUCACCUUCCCCAUCUCUGCCUGGAUGGGGCCUGCGAACCUCCCCUCCUUCCGUCUCUCCGUUUGCACUCUUUUUAGGGUGCGCAAUAAGGUCAAGCGAUUGCGAGGGAUAGACUCACUCUAGAGUCUACCUCCCCCAUCUCCGAGAAAAUGGUUUCCCCCAGAAGGAAGACGUGCAGAAACGAACGCGCCGCGCGGCCCUCGGCCGGGGCACUGGGGCCUACCACCCUUGCGGGGCCCAUAGGCCACGCCCUUUCUCUCGCUCAUUGGCUGCAUCUGCAGCGGGGCGGGCUUAGACCGACUUCCUAUUGGUUGGGAGGCUAGCGAGUAAUUUGCAAAGGGGCGUGGUCUGUGGGGCGGGGCGGAAGGCUGGGUACGCGGGGCGGCGGCGGUGGCGGAGCGCGGGCUGGCGGGGCCGGGGGACCGCGGCCCGGGGGCCUAUCUCGGGGCCCGGGGGCCAGGGAGACGUUGGUCCUGGGCCGACCCAGCCCUGGCGGCUCGGAUCCGGCCUUGGGAAACUCCCGGUGGCGCCAGGGGGAGUGGGGCCGUCACUGCCGAGGCCCCCAGAGCGGAGCCGGGUUCCAAGGAUGAUAAACUGUGGCUGAGAUGGGAACCAACUGGGUGAAGAUGGAAGUAUGGCGGUCCUGAGAGGGCCCCAGCUGUCAGCACACUCCCCUUGCCCCAUCACAAGUCCAUUUCCCUUCUCCUGGUUAACUGGAAGGUGCCCAAUGCCCACCCUGGAAGACGGUGGUCAGUGUAUCUUUCCCAGGAUCCUGGGAGAGAUGGAGGCCCUCCCAGACCCCCCAAGUCCUCUCACAGAAACGUCCCUUCAGCAUCUCCUGGGAGCGGAGUCCUUUGGAAGGGCCGCAGUUGGGACUCUCGGUUCUGGACCUGUGCUUCGCUUUGCUUGGGGAGGGCAACUGCUUCUCGUACUGCCAAUAAAGAAUCAUCUAAGGGCAGUGCGCCACUGCUUGGUGUUUGUGCUUGA